GCCAUAUCAAUAAGCGGAGGAAAAGAAACCAACAGGGAUUGCCUCAGUAACGGCGAGUGAAGCGGCAACAGCUCAAAUUUGAAAUCUGGCGGCCUCUGGGCCGUCCGAGUUGUAAUUUGAAGAGGAUGCUUUUGGCGAGGCGCCUUCCGAGUGCCCUGGAACGGGACGCCACAGAGGGUGAGAGCCCCGUAUGGUUGGACGCCGAGCCUCUGUAAAGCUCCUUCGACGAGUCGAGUAGUUUGGGAAUGCUGCUCAAAAUGGGAGGUAAACCCCUUCUAAAGCUAAAUACUGGCCAGAGACCGAUAGCGCACAAGCAGAGUGAUCGAAAGAUGAAAAGCACUUUGAAAAGAGAGUUAAAUAGCACGUGAAAUUGUUGAAAGGGAAGCGCUUGCGACCAGACUUGUGCCCGUCGAAUCAGCCGCCGCUCGCCGGCGGCGCACUUCGGCGGGCUCAGGCCAGCAUCAGUUCGCUGCAGGGGGAGAAAGGCGGCGGGAAUGUGGCUCUUCGGAGUGUUAUAGCCCGCCGCGCAAUACCCCUCGGCGGACUGAGGACCGCGCAUCUGCAAGGAUGCUGGCGUAAUGGUCGUCAGCGACCCGUCUUGAAACACGGACC
rnacentral:rRNA from 1 species